UUUUUAUGGCCGAGUAGGCCCUAGAUUUUUAAUCUAGUCACGGGUUGCCCUAUGCGC
rnacentral:tRNA from 1 species